rnacentral:rRNA from 1 species
GGAAUAUUGGACAAUGGUGGCAACACUGAUCCAGCCAUGCCGCGUGAAGGAUGAAGGCCCUAUGGGUUGUAAACUUCUUUUGUACGGGAAAAACCUUCUCACGUGUAAGAAGCUGAUUGUACUGUAAGAAUAAGGAUCGGCUAACUCCGUGCCAGCAGCCGCGGUAAUACGGAGGAUCCAAGCGUUAUCCGGAUUCAUUGGGUUUAAAGGGUGCGUAGGCGGAAUGAUAAGUCAGUGGUGAAAUCUCGCAGCUUAACUGCGAAACUGCCAUUGAUACUGUCAAUCUUGAGUACAUUUGAUGAGGGCGGAAUGUGUCAUGUAGCGGUGAAAUGCUUAGAUAUGACACAGAACACCGAUUGCGAAGGCAGCUCUCAAAACUGUAACUGACGCUGAGGCACGAAAGCGUGGGGUAUCAAACAGGAUUAGAUACCCUGGUAGUCCACGCUGUAAACUAUGAUUACUCGAUGUUUGCGAUACACAGUAAGCGUCUAAGCGAAAGACG